AGGAUGGAAGAAGAGAGAGAAUGGGUGAGGAAAAAACACAGGAGGAGGGACGAGUGGAGGAAGCACCCAGUGCUCACCAAUCAGUUCCGCCACGCCUUCCCUGGCUUCGGCAUCUAUCUCGUCGGCGAGCAGGUCUUCCGUCGCGCAGCCGCUCCUUCUUCUCACUCACUGAUAUCUCUUCUGGUGGUGGUGGAAGGAGGCUGGGAACAAGUAACAACUAUGGCACUUGCCCCUUCUUUUAAUGUCCAUUAAUAAACUUUUUAAGUUCAACUUAAAACUGGCACCCUUGAGUUUGUAAAUCUCAGACUACGUUAUCUAUCUUGCAUUUUCGGGCGUUAUAGUGUUUGUGGAAUUGAAGGUUUGAUCUCUGUUAGUUCCAAGCAGAUGGAGAUAGUGAGGAAGUUGGCUACGGAUUGCUUUAAGUAUGGCAUUGAGAAUCAAGGUGGUGGUUACCCUCUGCAGAGCCUUCUCUUCAAUUUGGUAACUCAUGAAACAUUGGAAAAUGAGAGAGAGACUUUGUUUGGGAUCCUAGGUGAUCCAGCUCGUCUAAGGCUUGACCCUGUUAAAAUGAGAGAAAUGAGAUUAUUGAUGUUUCCUCAUGAAGAAGAGCCAGAGGAAUUGGGUAACAAAGCAUCCUGUCAGUAAGGAAUAUGCAAGGCCUUUGCAAAAUUCUGCUCAGGCAAUGCCCCAUAGAUCCACUCCACCAAUUGCAAGGAAAACUCCAUUUCCUUUACUUGAAUAUAAACAUGGGAGUUUUGAUGCAAAUUCUCCUGGGUCUAUUUUGAUGGUUCAGCAACAUAAGGGAAUGCCUCCGAAGACAAUAAAAGCAGAAGGUUUUUAAGUUAGAUCUCAAGCAUGAUGCUUGCAAUACUGUAGAUGCAGCUCUAUUUAUGGGCAAGUCAUUCCAAGUUGGAUGGGGACCUAAUGGCAUUCUCAUUCAUUCUGGUGGACCUGUAGGAAGUGGUAGUGAGUACAAGAUAUUAUCAUCUGUUGUCAGUUUGGAGAAAGUUGCUUUUGACAAUUUCGUUAGGGAUGAAAAUAACAAAGUGAGUGAAGGAAGAGGUUAGAAUUGGUCCUUGCAAAUUGAAACUUCUAAAGCUUGAAGCGAAUUGUACAAUGUUGUCGGAUAUUUCACAUGGCUACUGUGAUAUUUUUGAGAGGCAAUUGACUGUACCGGGGUUGUCUUCCACUACACGCUUGGGUUCAACACACCAAGUAAUGACCUUUGAGUUAAUUAGAGUUCUUUUCUUCAAUAGAAAACAAAAAGGUUAAGUAGAAUGUUUGGGUGCUGACAACGAGGAAGAUAUGAUGCAGGAUAUGAAGGAAGUUUAUCAAGAUGUUGACCAAGAAGCACUCCCACUUAUGAGGAGGGCAGAGUUCAGUCAUUGGUUGCGAGAGUGUUUCUUAUCAUGUUCAAAACCAAAUAAGCUCUCACUGGGUAGAUGAAGCAGUGCAACUGGCAGCUUCCAAAGGAAAUGUGAGGCUGGCUUGUUUGUGGUUCUACUGUGAAUUGCUCUGGCAUUUCAAAGCAACUUGAUAUUUGGAGAAAGAAAUGUCUGGAUUAUAGUUUCAUUGAAAACGACAGAGUGAGGUAUGAUUUGUUAAGGUUUACAAUUAAAUAAAAAUAAAGGUGUGCCCUAGCAAUCUAAGGUGUGUCCUUAUCUUGAGCCUUUCUUAUUUUGAGUUAUGCUGUGAGAAAGGUCAUCUGUUGCAGAUUGGUGUAAUGGUGUAUUCGAAAACGGGGAGUGAGAUAUGUGAUUUGCUGCUAUCUGCUAUGGGCGAGGGUGCUAGCCGAGUUGAACAGUUUAGCUACUUUGACACUGCUUUCAGUUUCGCUCUGGUCACUUGCAGGACGCAGUGUAUCUGUGACCAGCUUUCUUUCUGAGAUUGCUACUUAAUUCCGCAGUAAUACAUGUAUAUCAUUCGUUAUUGGACUUAAUUCGUUACUAGAGUGUGAUACUUCAUUUCACUAUAUAUAUAAUAAAUAAAGGGAUCUUAGGAGCCACCA